GACGAACGCUGGCGGCGUGCCUAAUACAUGCAAGUAGAACGCACAGUUUAUACCGUAGCUUGCUACACCAUAGACUGUGAGUUGCGAACGGGUGAGUAACGCGUAGGUAACCUGCCUGGUAGCGGGGGAUAACUACUGGAAACGAUAGCUAAUACCGCAUAAUAUUGAUUAUUGCAUGAUAAUUGAUUGAAAGAUGCUAUUGCAUCACUACCAGAUGGACCUGCGUUGUAUUAGCUAGUAGGUGAGGUAACGGCGCACCUAGGCGACGAUACGUAGCCGGCCUGAGAGGGUGAUCGGCCACACUGGGACUGAGACACGGCCCAGACUCCUACGGGAGGCAGCAGUAGGGAAUCUUCGGCAAUGGACAAAAGUCUGACCGAGCAACGCCGCGUGAGUGAAGAAGGUUUUCGGAUCGUAAAGCUCUGUUGUAAGAGAAGAACGGGUGUGAGAGUGGAAAGUUCACACUGUGACGGUAUCUUACCAGAAAGGGACGGCUAACUACGUG
rnacentral:rRNA from 1 species